rnacentral:tRNA from 1 species
AAGAGUAGCUUAAAAUUAAAGCAUCUGACCUACAAUCAGAAUAUAUUAUAUUAUAAUCUCUCUGA